GACAGAGGUGCCGAGCGUUAGGCGGAAUCACUGGGCUUAAAGCGUGUGUAGGCGGAUCGUUAAGUACCUUGUGAAAUCCCACGGCUCAACCGUGGAACUGCUGGGUAUACUGGCGGUCUUGAGCCACCUAGGGGCGAGCGGAACAAGCGGUGGAGCGGUGAAAUGCGUAGAUAUCGCUUGGAACGCCAAUGGUGAAAACAGCUCGCUGGGGGUGUGCUGACGCUGAGACACGAAAGCCAGGGGAGCGAACGGG
rnacentral:rRNA from 1 species